rnacentral:misc_RNA from 1 species
UACGGAGGGUGCAAGCGUUGUCCGGAAUCAUUGGGUGUAAAGGGUGCGUAGGCGGAAGCCUAAGUCGGGGGUGAAAUCUUGCCGCUUAACGGUAAAAUUGCCUUCGAUACUGGGUUUAUUGAGCUCGGAAGAGGUUGGUGGAAUUCGUGGUGUAGCGGUGAAAUGCAUAGAGAUCACGAAGAACACCAGUGGCGAAGGAGGCCAACCGGUCCGACACUGACGCUGAGGCACGAGAGCGUGGGGAGCGAACAGG